rnacentral:lncRNA from 10 species
ACUGAAGCUUUCAACCUGGCCUGGGAACCUUAAGAAUAUUUUAUGAACAAUCAAUCCACCGAACUGCACCUGUCAGCAGACCCCGGUUAACUGCACAGAGUACCUGAAAGCCAUCCCCUGUCUGAAUUCACACAGAAAACUUUUAGAGCCACGGCACUGUGAUGGAGGGAAAGAAGGUGUGGACCACACCUCAUGAGAUGUGCAAACAACAUGGCUCAUGACAAACCCAGCAGAAUGCUCAAUCUUUAGAAACCCAAGAUGGCUACAGCAAUACAGACCAUGACAAUUUUUGGACCUUAAUAAUUAUCAUCAUUUGCAACAUAAAACGGAUUUCUCACUAUGAACCUUAGAGAAACAGCUUGACAAUCUUUGUCCUGGACAGCAAGUCUUCUUAGAGCU